AUUGAACGCUGGCGGCAUGCCUUACACAUGCAAGUCGAACGGCAGCGCGGACUUCGGUCUGGCGGCGAGUGGCGAACGGGUGAGUAAUACAUCGGAACGUACCCUGGUGUGGGGGAUAACUAGUCGAAAGAUUAGCUAAUACCGCAUCCGACCUGAGGGUGAAAGUGGGGGAUCGCAAGGCCUCACGCAGCAGGAGCGGCCGAUGUCUGAUUAGAUAUGUGGUGGGGUAAAGGCCAACCAAGGCGACGAACAGUAGCUGGUCUGAGAGGACGAUCAGCCACACUGGGACUGAGACACGGCCCAGACUCCUACGGGAGGCAGCAGUGGGGAAUUUUGGACAAUGGGGGCAACCCUGAUCCAGCAAUGCCGCGUGUGUGAAGAAGGCCUUCGGGUUGUAAAGCACUUUUGUCCGGAAAGAAAUCGCGCUGGUUAAUACCUGGCGUGGAUGACGGUACCGGAAGAAUAAGCACCGGCUAACUACGUGCCAGCCGCCGCCGUAA
rnacentral:rRNA from 1 species